GCUGCAGGCCUGGCCGGUACCCACUACAGACAGGCACCCUGCUCCCUGUGGCCGUGGCAGACCUCCAGCCUGGAACCUGAGCCACAUCGGGUCCUCUUCUUCACAAAUCACCCACCGCAGGCCCCUGUCACAUCACGGGGAAAACUGGCCCAGACUCCAGGUCCCCUGCUGUGCCGUCAGCCUGGGCUCUCUCCUGCACCUGUCUGGGACCCUGCUCUGGCUGCAUCACGGAGCUGGGGGACACUGCGGUCUGACUCAGAAGGGGUCCCUGCACAUGCAGAGCUGUGGCCAGCCACACGGCCCCACUCCAGCGCGGGACGAAGGGCAGGGUGUGGACAGACGCGGGCACGUGUGGGUGGAGGCUGGUGCACCAGAGAGAGGUUGUACCCAGUGAGCUCCCACUGUGGGAAGACCCUGCCCACCUCGGAGCACGAUGCUGUUGGGCCGCUCCCGGGCGGCAGGCAGAGCAGAUCUCGCUCCAGGGUCCCCGGAUCCUAGUCCAGCUGCCUCGGUAAUGCACCAGGCACCCCAGGCAAAGCCAUCCCAGACCAGUGGGCCUCACCUGGGCUCCCAUCUUCC
rnacentral:lncRNA from 1 species